rnacentral:rRNA from 1 species
UACAGAGGUCCCAAGCGUUGUUCGGAUUCACUGGGCGUAAAGGGUGCGUAGGUGGUGGGGUAAGUCGGAUGUGAAAGCUCGGAGCUCAACUCCGAAAUGGCAUUGGAAACUACCCUGCUAGAGGAUUGGAGGGGGGACUGGAAUACUUGGUGUAGCAGUGAAAUGCGUAGAUAUCAAGUGGAACACCAGUGGCGAAGGCGGGUCUCUGGACAGUUCCUGACGCUGAGGCACGAAGGUCAGGGGAGCAAACGGG